AACAGAACUAGGAAUCUGAGCACAGCCUGCCCUUGGAGGUAAUGGAGUCACUGCUCCAUGGAGGCGUUCCAGAACUGCAGAGAUGUGGCACAUGGUGUGGUGUGUCGAUGGUUGGAUUAGAUGAUCUUUGAGGUCUUUUCCAACUUUAAUGAUUCUAUGAUUCUAUGAAGACCUCAGUUACAUCACCUGCAGAGGCACCCCCAAAAGACAGGAAGCAUCUUCUUACAAGUGGUUUUACAGCAGAUUUCCUGCAGGAUAAGAGCACAGAGAAUCGAAGUCCAACUGAAGUAAGGCCAAGAUCAAGGAGGGAGAAUCUCCUGAGCGCUGCAGUGCACAUAAUGAGCUGGCUUUCCACCAGCCCAAAAAAACAAAACCAGUUGGGAAGUAUGGCAUCCUCCCCUUGAAGAUAAAUAAACAAAUGCUUAACCAUUAAGAGUUUGGGCACACUGGAGAAAUCACUGUGUUAUCAUCUCAUUUGUGCUGCAUAAAGACAUCGGGGGGCUCUUGCUCCAAAAAGCCUCUCACUGGUCUGACGUGCUGUUACUGUUGUGCCUUAGCUCUUCUGAGCUAUUCUACUCCUGCUGCUCCCAAGGUUGAGUCUGCUCGUGCACUGAUGCCAUCCCUCACUGCCACAACCCACCCACAGCCCAGGUCUUCAAGUCAGGGUCAACAAGGAGCUGAACACACUCUGUUUGACUUUGGACCCAGAGAGCUGAGUGAGAUUUAUCACAAGUGUAAAGACUUGGCAUGAUCUCACAUUAAGCUUUUGCCUAGAACAACUGCUCCCAGUCAUUGGGUCAGUUAUGUUUAACCUUCCGGUGUCACAUUUCCUGCUAAAAACUGCAGAGGGGAUAGGACAGUAAUCACUUCUCAGCAGGCAAGGAAGUUAGGCAAAAUGCUCAGGCAUCUGCAUGCCUGGGAACUGUUGGAUUGAAGCAGAUCCCUUUCAGCCAAGCAGUUCAGGUGGAAAAGCUGCUCAAAGUAUUUUCUGCAAUUUCACACUGAUUGCUGAGCACUGGGUGCUGCUGCUGCACAUCCCUGUGUGCACUGUGCAUGCCUACCUGCCCAAGAGGAAUGGGAGCACAGCCUCAGAGCCAAGAGCUGAUUUCCCCUUUCAAAGCACAUGGCGGCCCUGUCUGACCCCACUAAUGACACCUCAGGCAUUCUUGGCAGUGCCAGUGGGAUCAGAAACAGAAAGCAGUGGCUGGGGAGAGAAGACAACUCUGAUCUUUAAUGAGCAGGCUGAAUUCAUAGUGAGGCAACACGAGGCAUACUGGAUGUAUUAGAUACUGCUGCUUUAUCCACCUAGAGACAGAGAAAGGAAUGGUCAGCCAAGCUCAGAUGAGCCUGACACAUUACAAAUGGUCUUUGCCUUGAACUAAUGCUCACAAAACAGCAGGAGCAUCAGGCAGACAGAAAAGACCUCCUAGACUGUCCUCCUGGAGCCUAUAGGAUUACAUGGCAGCUCCAGAGCCAGCAGGGAAGGGGUAAGCUCCAAGGCAUUACUUGUAAGCCAGAUGCUGGCCAGAUCUUAGCAGCUCUAUUCAGAAUUCCUGAACUCAGAGAAACUCUGCAGAUUGGCAGCAGCUGAGCAUCUGACCUCAGUUACCCUUUGCAGCAAGGUGCUUUGCAGUGGGAUUCCUGCUCCAUGUUUCACACACUAAUGUAAAGCCCUAUAUUUGAGGUUAGAGCACAGCAUGUCCCAGGCAGGGUGAACAAGGCCAGCAUGGAGCCUUACAGUCACUGCUGGCAUCUACUGUUUUAUUUUUUUCAUGUUCCUUUCUGUUAUUUUUAUUUAAGAAGUGCCUUUCAUGCUGUAUGUGCAAAGUUCUUGGUGCUGCACGUACAAGCAGCUCCCCUGUGCCAGGCUUGGCUUCCUUCAGCCACCUUGUUCCCUGGCCUCACCCCUUCCCUGCCCUGGCAGAUCCUUCCCAAAACUUCAUCCAUCACUGACCAGCAUCAAGCAGUAGUCCUGAUGGAGAAGAGAAGCCCCAUAAAAGCAAGGGCUGGGUAGGGCUUGUUGACAGCUGCCUGUGCUCACAGCUGCAGUCACAGAGAGCCCAGCCCUGAAUGAUGUUGCCACAGAGCCAAAUGAAGGACGUGACACCAAGAUGUGUUGUUCUUCCAAGCCCUGGUAGGAACAUGGGGCUCAGGACACAGUGGCACAAUAAGCAGAUAGAAACCUGGAGGAAAUUCCUCACCAACAAGCUGUGGCUGGCAUGGGGAGGUGUGAGCAGAUCAAUCAAAUCUCCCUCCACUACUUUUUAGUGGGAUGCUUCCAAGUCUUCCUCCUCUCCAUGCUGAGCCUUUGAGGAUGAAUUCCCACAUCUCAGCUUAAGGCAAACUUUAGGGUACAUGUAAUAAAUUAUAGGGGGCAGAGUCCAUUUUUCUAACUCAUGUCAGGUAACUGACAUGCUGCCCACAGGCGAAGACUCCUCCUCCUCUCAAAACAGGGAAGAGAUUCAACCAACAUGAUUUCCACCCAUGCUACCCCAGCUGGUACCUGGGCACAGCUGGGAGGGCAGUCCAGGGCUGGUCAAGGACAUCAGCUGCCAGCCAGUGGUCGUGCCCUGGCCCCAUGAGUUUAAUGGCAAAGGUACUGCCACCAUGCUCACGUUUUUCAGAGUCACCCAUCCAGCCCAUACACCACCAAAGCCUACUUCCCUUACAAUGCCCUUGUGCUGUUUUCUGCACUGCAUUCCUUGCUGAGAAUGACCCAAGUCAUUCUAUGAUCCCUGCCAUCAAAUGCCCCAAAACAAAGAGAAAAAGGAUGUCUUGCUCUACAUCAUCUCUUCCCAGAGGUCAUGGUUUGCCAGCAUGGGAAUAAAGAAUCAAGCCUUUGGCAAAUCAAGCAUUGAUUCCAGAAUGGGGCUCUUGAAUAAUUGGUGGAUAAUGUUGUGAAAGCUGCCCUCAGAUAUCCAAAAAUUCAGAACCCCAGUAGAUUUUAGACCAAGUUUUCUGGCAUUCAGCUGAACAUUUUCAGAUGCUGGUCACUGUGAGACUGGAACAUUUUCCUCUUCCAAUAAAAAAAAUGUGUAUGUUGGGGGCGUUUCACUGAAAAUGUUUAUGAAAAAAAUAAUAUUGACUUUGCAUAAGGUUUUUUAGGGACAGGGAACGAAGAUAUUUUCUGUCCAGCUGAAGCAAAAAUAGCCAAAUAUCUUCCACAGAACAUCUACCCCCUUCUAAUGUGCUCGUGCCAAUAACAUGCAGUUUUAUGAGCUUUCACUGCUGCUAUCAUGGCAGAGUCAGCAGAAAACCAUAAGCCAUCUCAGAAACACUGAGAACAUGACCCUGAGCCACCUUUUUCUAUAACAUCACUUUAAAUCUCUUUUUAAACACCGUCUUAAGAGAGAAGCUGAGAUGAGUUAAGAUCUUCUCUUGAUAGCAGCUGUGCUGAUGACAGCAAAAGCAAACACAAGGACAUAGCUUGCAACUGCAAGAGAAGUUAAUCCUACAGGAGCCUCGGUCUUUUAGGAUGCCUUUUCACUACCCACAAAGCUCAGUGAAAUCCCCUGUCCAUGGACACAAUGUAGGCUCAUCUCUGCCUGUCUAAAGCCAGAUCUUCAGCUUUAUGCUCCACCUGGACAGCCACCCUCCCCCCUUUCAACUCACUGAAGUUUCUGCCCAACUACUGGAUAACCAACCCAUCUCUGAUUCAAGAGGUCAAAAAUGGAAUCUGCAGGACUGCAAAUAGUUCCUACAAUGGGCUACAGUAGCUUCAUAAAGCCUGCAUAGCUCCAGAGAGGUCUGAUGUGCUCCUACCAUGUGGAGGGCUCAGUACAAACCCUGCUCAAACUGCCAGCAAGACAUACAGUAAGAAGUAAAUAGUAAGACCAAAGCCUGGCAUAUAAACCAGUGAGCCCAGGCCAUAGAUUCUAUGAUUCUAUGAUCCUAAGAAUCAAUCUUCUCACUAGCACAGCAAUAUGCAGGAUCAAUUCUGCCCAUUACGCCUGGUUCACACAUCAGUGACAGCUCACUGUGCUACAGCUCUUUGCUGGUUUACAUUAACAGCCAAACAAGGG